rnacentral:snRNA from 1 species
GUUUUUAUGAUCAUUUCAAAAGCU